CAAUGGGCGAAAGCCUGAUCCAGCAAUGCCGCGUGAGUGAUGAAGGCCUUAGGGUUGUAAAGCUCUUUUACCAGGGAUGAUAAUGACAGUACCUGGAGAAUAAGCUCCGGCUAACUCCGUGCCAGCAGCCGCGGUAAUACGGAGGGAGCUAGCGUUGUUCGGAAUUACUGGGCGUAAAGAGUACGUAGGCGGUGAUUCAAGUCAGAGGUGAAAGCCUGGAGCUCAACUCCAGAACUGCCUUUGAAACUAGAUCGCUAGAAUUGUGGAGAGGUUAGUGGAAUUCCGAGUGUAGAGGUGAAAUUCGUAGAUAUUCGGAAGAACACCAGUGGCGAAGGCGACUAACUGGACACAUAUUGACGCUGAGGUACGAAAGCGUGGGGAGCAAACAGGAUUAGAUACCCUGGUAGUCCACGCCGUAAACGAUGAUAACUAGCUGUUCGGGGUCUACGAUCCUGAGUGGCGCAGCUAACGCAUUAAGUUAUCCGCCUG
rnacentral:rRNA from 1 species